rnacentral:rRNA from 1 species
UACAGAGGUCUCAAGCGUUGUUCGGAUUCAUUGGGCGUAAAGGGUGCGUAGGUGGCGUCGUAAGUGGGGUGUAAAAUCCCGGGGCUUAACCCCGGGACUGCAUUCCAUACUGCCGUGACUCGAGUCCGGUAGGGGAGUGUGGAAUUCCCGGUGUAGCGGUGAAAUGCGCAGAUAUCGGGAGGAACACCAGUAGCGAAGGCGGCACUCUGGGCCGGUACUGACGCUGAGGAGCGAAAGCGUGGGGAGCAAACAGG